rnacentral:rRNA from 1 species
UACCUGCAGCUCGAGUGGUAACCGCUAUUAUUGGGCCUAAAGCGUCCGUAGCCGGUUUGGUAAAUAUCUGGGUAAAUCGUGAGGCUUAACUUCACGAAUUUCGGAUAGACUGCCAGACUUGGGAUCGGGGGAGGUCAGAGGUACUCCAGGGGUAGCGGUGAAAUGUUGUAAUCCUUGGAGGACCACCGGUAGCGAAGGCGUCUGACUAGAACGAGUCCGACGGUGAGGGACGAAGCCCUGGGGCGCAAACCGGAUUAGAUACCCGGGUAGUCCAGGGUGUAAACUAUGUGGGCUUUGUAUUGGAGGUCCUACGUGGGCGUCCAGUGCAGAAGAGAAGUUGUUAAGCCCACCGCCUGGGAAGUACGGCCGCAAGGCUGAAACUUAAAGGAAUUGGCGGGGGAGCACAGCAACGGGAGGAGCGUGCGGUUU